rnacentral:rRNA from 1 species
UACAGAGGGUGCGAGCGUUAAUCGGAAUUACUGGGCGUAAAGCGCACGUAGGCGGCUUGGUAUGUCGGGUGUGAAAUCCCCGGGCUCAACCUGGGAACUGCAUCCGAAACUGCCUUGCUAGAGUAUGGGAGAGGGAAGUGGAAUUUCCGGUGUAGCGGUGAAAUGCGUAGAUAUCUGGAGGAACACCGGUGGCGAAGGCGGCAUCCUGGACCGGUAUUGACACUGAGGCGCGAAAGCCAGGGGAGCAAACGGG